GUGUGACUGCUCCUCCCACCAUUCAGGAGCAGGAGCCGGAGCCGGAGCAGGAGUGACAUGACUUCAGCUGCCUGUUUAUCACCAGCUCUGAAGGUGGUGGAAAGCUCAAGUAAACCUGUCUGAAGAGAAGGAGAUUAUGGAAUUUAUGACCUCCCUGCCAACAUACAGAACCACCGGUGCUUCAGAGUUUUAGUGAGAUGGGAUCUAAUGAGUCCAGAUGCUGUUCAUGGUCAUGUUCACAUACGGAGAAGGAUGACGUUGGCUGCAAACAAGAACCACAAGAAACUGAAGUAUUUCUCCAGGACACCCAGUGUGAUGCAGAAGAGAUGACAGUAGGAGACAGUGGUCCCUUGAAUCUUGACCCUGUGGUCUCCAAACCUAUCCUGGACUUUGCUCAGAAGAUGUCAGAGGACAUUAUUACCCAGGCUUUGCAGCUGUUCUGGGAAGUGGAGAUUCAGUACAAGGACUUGCCCUUUAUUGACAGUGGCUCUGAUUACAUUAUAUGACCAGAAGGGAGGAAACCGGAGCAAAGUCAUCUUUUACUGCUGCCCAUGAACUUCAACCAGGUGGAGUUCCUGUCAUGCUGGAGGAUUGCAGCUGCAUUUCUGUAGUCUCCGCAGCACGUACUCCACAGUUUGUUUUUGGGGUUUUUGUACAUUGUAAACCACCGAAGCAUGGUGAAACUGUAGUUGCAAAAUCAAAUCAUGUAAUUGUAUGGUUUUUUUGGAAAAUAAGUCUUAGUCUUAGUCAAUGUCACAGAAGAGAUAUGUCAGCAUUUUCAAGAUGACACUAGUUUUAACGAUUAUGGCUAAUUAUUUCUACCCUGACUACUAAUAACCUGUGAAUGUGUAGUGAAUGACAACUUAACUUAAGAGAGCUACAAUUCCAAAAUGUCCACUGAAGUUCAAACAAUACCAGCAGUGUAUUUUAUCAUAACGUACGUCACGGAUGAGUUGUGACAACAGUAUGAGUGAGAAAACAACACCUGUCAGACACCUGUCUAACAGGACAAGCUUUUCUUCCACUGUGUUAACUCUAUAGCUGCUGUGUGUACAGGAACACCUAACCACAGAGUUACACUAGUGACUUCAUUUCAUAUGAGCCCUGACAGAACAGACUGAGAGCAAAGUUAACCUGACUUUUAGAGGAUCGUAUAUAAUGUAGUAUUUUCAAAUUACACUUUUUUUCAUCCCAAAAUGCAAAUGUCUUUGCAAUUAAAUUAACAUUUGAAAGCAUAGGGAAAAAAAACAAAACAAAACACCAGAAACAAAGUGAAGUAGAGAAAACAAGUUAUAUACCUAUAGGUCAGACUGAUACACACAAAUAAAUAAACAAAUCCAGAAGACCAGAAGAACUACACCAAAUAGUCCAAAUAUAACCAUGACAUUUACUAAAAGUUAUUUUAAAACUAUCCAAAGGAUACUAAUAGUGAAGCCAUUCACUGUUGGUCAAAUGGCAAAAGCUAUGGCUAAGCUUUGAUAAUAUUAGGUUAGAUAUCACAAAAUGUCCUAAACAAAUAAAGUGCAAAAUUAGCAACUCUAUGGUGCAAAAAAAAAAAAAAAACUCCAAUAGCUUGGAAAGGGUUGAGAGAUGCAAUAAAAAGGGAAGCAAAA